UGGGACCCGGGAGGGGAGGCGGCUCGGUCCUUCGUGCCGUCCUCCCCGCUGGGAGGGGCAGCUCCAGCUCCGCUCGGCUCGCUCCGCCCGGCCACACCGGCUUUUUCCCCAUCAGGCGGUCCGAGUGCGGCUCCUCGCGAGCCUGCAAAGGAGCAGCAGGCGGUUCCUUUUCGGACGACCUGGAGCGAGGCCUGCGGGACUGCGCGCCCCGGCGGGCGGCGUGCGGCUCCCGGCAUGCGCGGCGGCUGCGUUCCCGCCGCCUCCGAGCUCGCCUGGGGCUGCCGCCCGCCUCCUGCCGGGCCCUCGGGCUCGCCCGGCACCGCGGGGCUUGAUCAGGGAGAUAUUUUAGUACAACAUCUUUUCAUCACAGAAAUGAUAUCUUCAGGGAAAAGACUUCGAAAAAGUGCCUGAAGUGACACAACACAUGUUUUCUUCUGGUAUCUGGCUAAAGCCUUCUCUUCUAAGCAGCAUAAACUACUGCUGCCUACAUGUUGCCUGUUCAUAAAGGCUGAGGCAGGGGAGUCGCUUGAACUCGGGAGGCGGAGGUUGCAGUGAGCCGAGAUCAUGCCAUUUCCCUCCAGCCUGGCGACAGAGCAAGACUCCAUCUCAAAAAAAAGAAAAGAGAAGAAAAAAACAAAGAACUUUAUGCACCUUCUGGAAUAACAAAAUGCAAAUGUAAUGUUAUCUACCAGGAUAGAAAUUGGAGGCUAGAAUAUGUUGGGUAGGGUAGAGAGACUAGAGGGAAUGAUUUAGCAAUAAAAUAGGUUUAAAUAUCUUCUCA